AUGCAUGUCUAAGCAUAAGCCGAAUAUGGUAAAGCCGCGAAUGGCUCAUUACAACAGCCAUAGUUUAUUGGAUCUUAGAGUCCUACUUGGAUACCUGUGGUAAUUCUAGAGCUAAUACACGCAAUCAAGCCCCAACCUUACGGGAGGGGCGCAUUUAUUAGAACAAAACCAAUUGGCCUCGGCCAUCUGUUGGUGAAUCUGAAUAACUACGCAGAUCGCACGGUCUCGCACCGGCGACAUAUCCUUCAAGUGUCUGCCUUAUCAACUUUCGAUGGUAGUUUACAUGACUACCAUGGUUGUAACGGGUAACGGAGAAUAAGGGUUCGACUCCGGAGAGGGAGCCUGAGAAACGGCUACCACAUCCAAGGAAGGCAGCAGGCGCGCAAAUUACCCACUCUCAGAACGAGGAGGUAGUGACGAAAAAUAACGAGACAGUUCUCUAUGAGGUCUGUCAUCGGAAUGGGUACAAUUUAAACCCUUUAACGAGGAUCUAUUGGAGGGCAAGUCUGGUGCCAGCAGCCGCGGUAAUUCCAGCUCCAAUAGCGUAUAUUAAAGUUGUUGCGGUUAAAAAGCUCGUAGUUGGAUCUGCGGCCUCGGAUGCCGGUCCCCCACUGGGUGCGAACUGGUUUUCCAGGCCUACCUUGCCGGUUUUCCCUUGGUGCUCUUCACUGAGUGCCCUGGGUGGCCGGUACGUUUACUUUGAAAAAAUUAGAGUGCUCAAUGCAGGCAUCUUGCUUGUAUAGUCUUGCAUGGAAUAAUGGAAUAGGACCUCGGUUCUAUUUUGUUGGUUUUCGGAGCGUGAGGUAAUGAUUAAGAGGAACAGACGGGGGCAUUCGUACUGCUACGUUAGAGGUGAAAUUCUUGGAUCGUAGCAUGACGGACAACUGCGAAGGCAUUUGCCAAGAAUGUUUUCAUUAAUCAAGAACGAUAGUUAGAG
rnacentral:rRNA from 1 species